GACGAACGCUGGCGGCGUGCCUAACACAUGCAAGUCGAACGGAACUGUUUUGAAAGAUUUCUUCGGAAUGAAUUUGAUUUAGUUUAGUGGCGGACGGGUGAGUAACGCGUGAGUAACCUGCCUUCAAGAGGGGAAUAACAUUCUGAAAAGAAUGCUACUACCGCAUGACAUAUCGGAACCACAUGGUUUUGAUAUCAAAGAUUUUAUCGCUUGAAGAUGGACUCGCGUCCGAUUAGUUAGUUGGUGAGGUAACGGCUCACCAAGACCGCGAUCGGUAGCCGGACUGAGAGGUUGAACGGCCACAGUGGGACUGAGACACGGCCCAGACUCCUACGGGAGGCAGCAGUGGGGGAUAUUGCGCAAUGGGGGCAACCCUGACGCAGCAACGCCGCGUGAAGGAUGAAGGUUUUCGGAUUGUAAACUUCUUUUAUUAAGGACGAAAAAUGACGGUACUUAAUGAAUAAGCUCCGGCUAACUACGUG
rnacentral:rRNA from 1 species